CACUCCUACGGGAGGCAGCAGUGGGGAAUAUUGGACAAUGGGCGCAAGCCUGAUCCAGCCAUGCCGCGUGAGUGAUGAAGGCCCUAGGGUUGUAAAGCUCUUUCACCGGUGAAGAUAAUGACGGUAACCGGAGAAGAAGCCCCGGCUAACUUCGUGCCAGCAGCCGCGGUAAUACGAAGGGGGCUAGCGUUGUUCGGAUUUACUGGGCGUAAAGCGCACGUAGGCGGACUAUUAAGUCAGGGGUGAAAUCCCGGGGCUCAACCCCGGAACUGCCUUUGAUACUGGUAGUCUUGAGUUCGAGAGAGGUGAGUGGAAUUCCGAGUGGAGAGGUGAAAUUCGUAGAUAUUCGGAGGAACACCAGUGGCGAAGGCGGCUCACUGGCUCGAUACUGACGCUGAGGUGCGAAAGCGUGGGGAGCAAACAGGAUUAGAAACCCUGGUAGUCC
rnacentral:rRNA from 1 species